rnacentral:rRNA from 1 species
AUAAGUAACGAUAAAGCGGGUGAAAAGCCCGCUCGCCGGAAGACCAAGGGUUCCUGUCCAACGUUAAUCGGGGCAGGGUGAGUCGACCCCUAAGGCGAGGCCGAAAGG